rnacentral:rRNA from 1 species
GACGAACGCUGGCGGCGUGCUUAACACAUGCAAGUCGAACGGAAAGGCCCUGCUUUUGUGGGGUGCUCGAGUGGCGAACGGGUGAGUAACACGUGAGUAACCUGCCCUUGACUUUGGGAUAACUUCAGGAAACUGGGGCUAAUACCGGAUAGGAGCUCCUGCUGCAUGGUGGGGGUUGGAAAGUUUCGGCGGUUGGGGAUGGACUCGCGGCUUAUCAGCUUGUUGGUGGGGUAGUGGCUUACCAAGGCUUUGACGGGUAGCCGGCCUGAGAGGGUGACCGGCCACAUUGGGACUGAGAUACGGCCCAGACUCCUACGGGAGGCAGCAGUGGGGAAUAUUGCACAAUGGGCGGAAGCCUGAUGCAACAACGCCGCGUGCGGGAUGACGGCCUUCGGGUUGUAAACCGCUUUCGCCUGUGACGAAGCGUGAGUGACGGUAAUGGGUAAAGAAGCACCGGCUAACUACGUGCCAGCAGCCGCGGUGAUACGUAGGGUGCGAGCGUUGUCCGGAUUUAUUGGGCGUAAAGGGCUCGUAGGUGGUUGAUCGCGUCGGAAGUGUAAUCUUGGGGCUUAACCCUGAGCGUGCUUUCGAUACGGGUUGACUUGAGGAAGGUAGGGGAGAAUGGAAUUCCUGGUGGAGCGGUGGAAUGCGCAGAUAUCAGGAGGAACACCAGUGGCGAAGGCGGUUCUCUGGGCCUUUCCUGACGCUGAGGAGCGAAAGCGUGGGGAGCGAACAGGCUUAGAUACCCUGGUAGUCCACGCUGUAAGCGGUGGGUACUAGGUGUGGGGUCCAUUCCACGGGUUCCGUGCCGUAGCUAACGCUUUAAGUACCCCGCCUGGGGAGUACGGCCGCAAGGCUAAAACUCAAAGGAAUUGACGGGGCCCCGCACAAGCGGCGGAGCAUGCGGAUUAAUUCGAUGCAACGCGUAGAACCUUACCUGGGUUUGACAUGGAUCGGGAGUGCUCAGAGAUGGGUGUGCCUCUUUUGGGGUCGGUUCACAGGUGGUGCAUGCCUGUCGUCAGCUCGUGUCGUGAGAUGUUGGGUUAAGUCCCGCAACGAGCGCAACCCUUGUUCACUGUUGCCAGCACGUUAUGGUGGGGACUCAGUGGAGACCGCCGGGGUCAACUCGGAGGAAGGUGGGGAUGACGUCAAGUCCUCAUGCCCCUUAUGUCCAGGGCUUCACGCAUGCUACAAUGGCUGGUACAGAGAGUGGCGAGCCUGUGAGGGUGAGCGAAUCUCGGAAAGCCGGUCUCAGUUCGGAUUGGGGUCUGCAACUCGACCUCAUGAAGUCGGAGUCGCUAGUAAUCGCAGAUCAGCAACGCUGCGGUGAAUACGUUCCCGGG